rnacentral:rRNA from 1 species
AACGAACGCUGGCGGCAUGCCUAACACAUGCAAGUCGAACGAGACCUUCGGGUCUAGUGGCGCACGGGUGCGUAACGCGUGGGAAUCUGCCCUUUGCUUCGGAAUAACAGUUAGAAAUGACUGCUAAUACCGGAUGAUGUCUUCGGACCAAAGGUUUAUCGGCAAAGGAUGAGCCCGCGUAGGAUUAGGUAGUUGGUGGGGUAAAGGCCUACCAAGCCGACGAUCCUUAGCUGGUCUGAGAGGAUGAUCAGCCACACUGGGACUGAGACACGGCCCAGACUCCUACGGGAGGCAGCAGUGGGGAAUAUUGGACAAUGGGCGAAAGCCUGAUCCAGCAAUGCCGCGUGAGUGAUGAAGGCCUUCGGGUCGUAAAGCUCUUUUACCAGGGAUGAUAAUGACAGUAUCGGGAGAAUAAGCUCCGGCUAACUCCGUGCCAGCAGCCGCGGUAAU